rnacentral:pre_miRNA from 1 species
UAGCUUUGUCCUAAGUCAAAAUUGUUUAACUUUAACCAAGUUUAUAUAAGAGUAGAUUAAUAUCUACAAUACCAAAUAAAUGCACUAUCAAGAUAUAUUUCAUGGUGGAUUUAAUGAAACUAAUUUGAUCUUGUAGAUGUUGGUACUUUUUUCGAUAAAUUUGGUCAAAGUUAGACAGGUUUGACUUAGUACAAAGCUAG